rnacentral:sRNA from 1 species
GUCGAACGCAGUGAGACAACGGAGCCGCUUGCGGCGACGGCCCGAAGGGCGAGGCGAAGCCGAGUCAUCCUGCACGACCCACCA